rnacentral:piRNA from 1 species
CCCAUGGGUAUUUCUGAAACGAAGCU